UACGAAGGGGGCGAGCGUUGUUCGGAUUUACUGGGCGUAAAGGGCGCGUAGGCGGCCUUGUCAGUCAGGCGUGAAAGCCCCGGGCUCAACCUGGGAACGGCGCUUGGGACGGCGAGGCUGGAGUUCGGGAGAGGUGAGUGGAACUGCGAGUGUAGAGGUGAAAUUCGUAGAUAUUCGCAAGAACACCAGUGGCGAAGGCGGCUCACUGGCCCGGUACUGACGCUGAGGUGCGAAAGCGUGGGGAGCAAACAGA
rnacentral:rRNA from 1 species